CUGAGUAACGCGUAGUCAAUCUACCCUAUGGUUGAUGAUAACCCCGGCAAACUGGGGAUAAACAUCGAUAAUCACCGUCUGUUGGAAUACUUCGGUGAUAAAAGGAGUAUAAGCAUGGUUAUACACGCCAUAGGACGAGACUGCGUCCGAUUAGGUAUUGCGUGGGGUAAUGGCCCACGUAGCCUUAUCGGUAGGGGCUAUGAGUAGUAGUAUCCCCCAGUUGAAUCCUGAGACACUGAUUCAGGGCCUAUGGGUUGCAGCAGGCACGAAACCUUCACAAUGCACGAAAGUGUGAUGAGGUCAUCCCGAGUCCUAGGCUGACGUCUAGGUUUUCUGGAGUUUGAUAAGCUUCACGAAUAAGGAGGGGGCAAGAACGGUGCCAGCCGCCGCGGUAAAACCGUCUCUUCGAGUGGCCACCGCGUUUACUGGGCUUAAAAGCGUGCGUAGCGGGAUUAGUCCGUCCCACAUUAAAAGACGGCUUCUCAAGAGUCCGAAGUGUGUGAGAAACAGCUAAUCUUGGCAAUGGGAUAGGGGCUCGGUACCCCGUGGUGUAAAGGUGAAAUUUUAUAAUCCCACGGGGACCACCCGAUGGCGAAGGCAGAGCCCUGGAACAUGUGCGACCGUCAGGCACGAAAGGGUGGGUAGCGAGCCGGAUUAGAUACCCGGGUAGUCCACUCCGUAAACGAUGCGGAUUAAGUGUAUGGGAAGCGAAUGCUUUCCAUGUGCAGUAGGGAAACCGUUAAAUCCGCCGCCUGGGAAGUACGCUCGCAAGAGUGGAACUUAAAGCAAUUGGCGGGAGAGCGCCACAAUGGGUGGAGCCUGCGGCUUAAUUGGACUCAACGCCGGAAAACUCACCAGAGUCUUCUAUCCGAUGCCAACCAGCUUGAAGAGCUUGUUGAAAGGAUGAAAGGGAAGUGCAUGGCCGUCUCCAGCUCGUGCCGUGAGGUGUCCUGUUAAGUCGGGCAACGAGAGAGAUCUCCGGGAAUACUUACCAGCGGAACCUAGCGGUUGCCGGGCACAGUAUUCCGACUGCCACUGCUAAAGUGGAGGAAGGCGGAGGCCAAGGCAGGUCAGUAUGCUCCUAAUACUCUGGGCCGCACGCGGGCUACAAUGCUACGGACAACGGGAUCCUACUCCGAAAGGCGACGGAAAUCUCUAAACCGUAGCUCAGUUGGGAUUGCGGGCUGCAACUGCCCGCAUGAACUUGGAAUCCAUAGUAAUCGUGUGUCAUCAUCGCACGGUGAAUACUGUCCCCUCUCUUUGCACACACCGCCCGUCGCAGCACGCGAGUUGGUCAAGUGAGAGGCUUAAACCCCGUGUUUAUGUCAAUCAUAGGGUCAUUGAGUGGGCUGAAGUCGUAACAAGGUAACC
rnacentral:rRNA from 1 species